GACGAACCGUGCGGACGUUAUUCGGAAUCACUGGGCUUAAAGCGCGUGUAGGCGGGUCGGUGCGUCGGCCGCUGAAAUCCCCCGGCUCAACCGGGGAAGGGGCGCCGAUACGACCGGCCUGGAGCGACGUAGGGGGAACUGGAACUUCCGGUGGAGCGGUGAAAUGCGUUGAGAUCGGAAGGAACGCCCGUGGCGAAAGCGAGUUCCUGGACGUCGGCUGACGCUGAGACGCGAAAGCGUGGGGAGCAAACAGG
rnacentral:rRNA from 1 species